rnacentral:rRNA from 1 species
CCUACGGGUGGCAGCAGUGGGGAAUAUUGCACAAUGGGGGGAACCCUGAUGCAGCGAAGCCGCGUGGGUGAAGGAGUAUCUCGGUAUGUAAAGCCCUAUCAGCAGGGAAGAACAAUGACGGUCCCUUACUAAGAAGUACCGGCUAAAUACGUGACAGCAGCCGCGGUAAUACGGAUGGUGCAAGCGUUAUCCGGAUUUACUGGGUGUAAAGGGAGCGCAGGCGGCGUGUUAAGCCUGGUGUGAAAGUCCGCGGCCCAACCGCGGGACUGCAGUGGGACCUGGCGCGAUGGAGUGCGGGAGGGGGAGGCGGAAGGCGUGGUGUAGCGGUGAAAUGCGUAGAUAUUAGGAGGAACACCAGUGGCGAAGGCGGCCUACUGGACGGUGACUGACGCUGAUGCGCGAAAGCGUGGGGAUCAAACAGGAUUAGAUACCCUAGUAGUC